rnacentral:lncRNA from 1 species
CUGUCAAUCCCUAGCUUGAGGGACUAUUUCAUGUUGGAAUCUCAAUCAAACAUUUAAGAGGAACAAUUCCACUAAACAAAACCAGAUAUAAUGAAAAAUAAAAAAACUAUAAUUAGAUAAGCAAUAAUAAUAAUAAAAAAAUCUACCUAAUUCCCUUUUCCUUUUUUUGUUUUUGUUUUUUCUUCUUUCCUUCCACGAUUUGGCAGCUUCGUGGAGGUCCACCGGGAGUUAAUCGUCGGAGCUCCGGCGAUGAGGACCAGCAGCGAGCAGAUCGGCGGCGAGCGGUGGCGUCGCGAGGAGCAGCGGCAAGCGAGAUCUCGGCUGGUGUCGCGGGCGCAGGUGCUCGGCUCCGACGGCAGGGCAGCGAAUGGGACUGCAACUCGAGGAAUCUGGUCGCGGUGUUGCGGUGGGCUCGGAUCUGCAGGCGAAGAGGCUUCACAGGCGACUGGGUCACAGAUCUGCAGGUGGAGCGGCUUCGCGGGCGGAUCGGGGAUAGGCGACGCAAGGCGGGGCUCAGCGUCGGGGGAGAGCUGAAGCAGUCGUCGGGUGCAGUGGGCUGCAACAGAGGGCAGGUUGGCUCGGCGGAGAGCUGGUGCGGGUUGCCGGAGGGCCCUGAGCUCAGGCGGUCAGAGGCGGAUCGACGGACGGGCGACGGUAGCUGCUGGCGUCGGGUUAAGCAGGGACGUCAAUCGCUGGUCUUCGAGACGCCGAAGACGACGGCGUCAGGUGGUGCGACUGAAUCGCGCGGUGAAGCGGAGCUCCGGUGAGAUGGACGGCGGUGCCGCGCGGUGGAGUAGGAACUGGCGAACGACUGCAGAUGCGGGAAGUGAGUAGGGGUGAGCAUGGUCCGAGUUGGUCCGGGCCACCCCCUAACCCUAGGACCAACCCGUAUAGUGUCGGUCCUCAAUUUUUAGGACCGAGGACCGACCCUACUAAGCUUGGGACCAAGGACCGGACCGACCCAAUGGGUUCGGUUCGGUUCCAGGGUCAACCCGGGACCGAUCGAUAAUUUAUUUCAUCUUGUUUUUUAUACUCCCUAAAAAAGUAAACCUACAAAUUCAAAUUACACAUACAUCGACAAUGCGGCAUUAUGCAACUAAACUAUAAAUACCAAUACAAUAUCUCAAAUGAAGCACAAAGUAGAUAUCACUAGUCAAGUUGUGUUUGGAAAGCAAGGCAAGCUGAGCAUUAGGGUUUCUAAUUAGGGCUUCUUCUUUUUUCCUUUUGAUUUACUCGGCGAUAAGUGAGGCGACCGGCGCGAGUGGCGAGCGCAAGCGUCGAGUGUCGAGUGGGGUGAGCGUCAACUGGCAAGCGGCAAGCGUUUAGUGAGGCCAGCGGCAAGCGGCGAGCAUUGAGCGAGACUAGCGGCGAGUGAUGAGUGGCGAGCGUUUAGCGAGGCCAGCAACGACAGCAAAGGGCGAGUGGUGAGUGGCGAGCAGCGCGCACGAUCAAAGGUGAGCGGCGCGGGCAACCAGAGGCGAGCGGGAUGUUGCUACUUUUGAUUUUGGCAAAUUGAAGAACAAAGAAGACAAAAUGGAAGAGAAUGUACUUUUUAGGGAAGAAAGCCGUGAGGAGAUUUACGGCAUAAACUUCGCGCCAUUUUGGACGUCGCGAGUCCAUGACUAUGAGGAGUCCUUGGUCCUCACGGUGAAGAAUGUACUAUGGAGUCUAGACUGUGGAGGAGGAGGCCGUGAAGACCUUUACGGCGUAAACUUCACGCCUUUUGGAAUUGGAUGCCGUCUGUCCAUGAUUAUGAGCAUGAGGAGUCAACAACUUUAACAUCAUUUUACUUAGGUUUGAAUAUUUAAAAGAAUUAUAUAUAAUAUAAUAUAACAUAAAUUUUACUUAGGUUUGAAUAUAUAAAAGAAUUAUAAAUAAUAUAAUACAAUAUAAUAUACAGGGUUGGUCUAGGGUUGGACCGACCCAAAACUCUCAAGACCGAGGACCAACUCGCACAGUGUUGGUCUUGGAAUUUCAGGACCAAGGACCAACCCAGUCCCCUUGGGAACCGGACCAGGACCGGCAGGGUUGGGCCGGUCCAGGGUCGGUCCAGGGUUGACCCUAAACCGCUGCUCACCCCUAGAAGUGAGGGCGCGAGCGUAGCGCGGGUGGACGAAUCUCUCCUAUUUUUAAUUCUUUUCUCUCUCUUCCUGUCACUCUCAC